rnacentral:tRNA from 1 species
AGACAAUAAACUAAAAAGUGUAUAUUUUGAAAAUAUAAAUAAGAAAUUAAAAUUUCUAUUGUUUU